ensembl:snoRNA
GAGCAAUAUGAAAAUGUCUUACUACUGACCUUUAUAACUAUGAAGGUUUCUGUAUUUGAUCUGAGCUCA